rnacentral:lncRNA from 1 species
AAUUGGAGAGGGCAAAAAGGGCCCUGUGUUGCUUUAUUUAAAAUAUGCAAUGCUUGUCUUUCUUUCUGUUUACAGUAGCUAGCAUUUUAUAACAGUAGUUCUCAUUUUUAUUUACUAGUGCAAAAGUGACAAGGCUAUAGAGGAUUUCCUGUUCGUUUUAUCUAGUGAGGAGCACAAAUCUCCUGGCAACUGAGUCCAGAAUUAUCAAAAGCACAAAGCAUAACUCCUCUACAGUCUCUGCAGCUGACCUCCAGUGACCAGUCUCCUCAGCAUGAAAGAAACAUUCAACACUUGCCUGCUGUUUCCAGCAUCCAAACCUGAGGUUCUCUUUGGGAGAGGAACCAGCUCCUUUUCUGCCCUGGCUGGAGUUAAGAAAAUGCACCUGCCUCUGUGA